GGAGUCUGGGCCGUAUCUCAGUCCCAAUGUGGCCGUCUAACCUCUCAGUUCGGCUACUGAUCGUUGUCUUGGUAGGCCGUUACCCCACCAACUAACUAAUCAGAUAUAAGUCCAUCUAUUAGCGGAUUGCUCCUUUCCCACUAUUAUCAUGCGAUAAUUAUGGCAUAUGCGGUAUUAGCAAUCGUUUCCGACUGUUGUUCCCCUCUAACAGGCAGGUUACUUAUACUUUACUCACCAGUCCGCCACUAAAGCCAUUGUUGUAAGUCAUAAUCCAUUCGCUUUGAACAAGUUCUCCGUUCAUUUCAAAUUCAUUACAACGACUUCCGUUCGACUUGCAUGUCUUAUGUGCGCCGCCAGCGUUUAUC
rnacentral:rRNA from 1 species